rnacentral:rRNA from 1 species
GCUCCGGCGGAGAAGGAUGAGCUUGCGGCCUAUCAGCUUGUUGGUGAGGUAAUGGCUCACCAAGGCGAUGACGGGUAGCCGGCCUGAGAGGGUGACCGGCCACACUGGGACUGAGACACGGCCCAGACUCCUACGGGAGGCAGCAGUGGGGAAUAUUGGACAAUGGGCGAAAGCCUGAUCCAGCAACGCCGCGUGAGGGAUGACGGCCUUCGGGUUGUAAACCUCUUUCAGCAGGGACGAAGCGAAAGUGACGGUACCUGCAGAAAAAGGACCGGCCAACUACGUGCCAGCAGCCGCGGUAAUACGUAGGGUCCGAGCGUUGUCCGGAAUUAUUGGGCGUAAAGGGCUCGUAGGCGGUUUGUCACGUCGGGCGUGAAAACUCAGGGCUCAACCCUGAGCGUGCGUCCGAUACGGGCAGACUAGAGGUAUGCAGGGGAGAACGGAAUUCCUGGUGUAGCGGUGGAAUGCGCAGAUAUCAGGAGGAACACCGGUGGCGAAGGCGGUUCUCUGGGCAUUACCUGACGCUGAGGAGCGAAAGCAUGGGGAGCGAACAGGAUUAGAUACCCUGGUAGUCCAUGCCGUAAACGUUGGGCGCUAGGUGUGGGGACCUUCCACGGUCUCCGUGCCGCAGCUAACGCAUUAAGCGCCCCGCCUGGGGAGUACGGCCGCAAGGCUAAAACUCAAAGGAAUUGACGGGGGCCCGCACAAGCGGCGGAGCAUGCUGAUUAAUUCGAUGCAACGCGAAGAACCUUACCUGGGUUUGACAUAUACCGGAAAG